rnacentral:rRNA from 1 species
UACGUAGGGGGCUAGCGUUGUCCGGAAUCAUUGGGCGUAAAGAGCGUGUAGGCGGCUUGGUAAGUCCGCUGUGAAAGUCCAGGGCUUAACCCUGGAAAGCCAGUGGAAACUGUCAAGCUAGAGUCCGGAAGAGGUGAGUGGAACUCCGGGAGUAGCGGUGAAAUGCGUAGAGACCCGGAGGAACACCAGUGGCGAAGGCGGCUUCCUGGUCUGCGACUGACGCUGUGGCGCGAAAGCUAGGGGAGCAAACGGG